rnacentral:rRNA from 1 species
GGAUUAGGCAUGCAAGUCGAACGAGGAAGUGCCCCGUAAGGGGCGCAAGCCUAGUGGCGAAAGGGUGAGUAAUGCAUUGAUAACCUGCCUUUGAGAUGGGAAUAACUGCGUUUCGAGCAAUCGGAACUACCGAAAGGGCUGCUAAUACCCAAUAAUACUAUAGGUGCRAAAGCACUUGUGGUCAAAUGCUAGGAAUUCUGUUCCUUGUGCUUAAAGAGGGGUUAAUGUCCUAUCAGCUAGUUGGUGGGGUAAUGGCCUACCAAGGCAAAGACGGGUAGCCGGCUUGAGAGGGUGGUCGGCCACACUGGGACUGAGACACUGCCCAGACUCCUACGGGAGGCUGCAGUCGAGAAUCUUUCGCAAUGCCCGAAAGGGUGACGAAGCGACGCCGCGUGUGGGAAGAAGGCCUUCGGGUUGUAAACCACUGUCGGGAGUUAGGAAAUGCAGGUGCGUUAAUAGCGCACUUGCUUGACUAAGGCUCCAGAGGAAGCCACGGCUAACUCUGUGCCAGCAGCCGCGGUAAUACAGAGGCGGCAAGCGUUGUUCGGAAUUAUUGGGCGUAAAGAGCACGUAGGCGGCCUUGCAAGUCAGUUGUGAAAGCCUUCCGCUUAACGGAAGAACGGCAUCUGAUACUACAGGGCUUGAGUACGGGAGGGGAGAGUGGAACUUCUGGUGGAGCGGUGAAAUGCGUAGAUAUCAGAAGGAACGCCGGCGGCGAAAGCGACUCUCUGGUCCGAAACUGACGCUGAGUGUGCGAAAGCUAGGGGAGCAAACGGGAUUAGAUACCCCGGUAGUCCUAGCCGUAAACGAUGGGCACUAAGUAGAGGGGUUUU